rnacentral:rRNA from 1 species
AUUGAACGCUGGCGGCAGGCCUAACACAUGCAAGUCGAGCGGGGUUUUCGGACCUAGCGGCGGACGGGUGAGUAAUGCGUAGGAAGCUACCCGGUAGAGGGGGAUACCAGUUGGAGACGACUGUUAAUACCGCAUAAUGUCUACGGACCAAAGUGUGGGACCUUCGGGCCACAUGCUAUCGGAUGCGCCUACGUGGGAUUAGCUAGUUGGUGAGGUAAUGGCUCACCAAGGCGACGAUCCCUAGCUGGUUUGAGAGGAUGAUCAGCCACACUGGAACUGAGACACGGUACAGACUCCUACGGGAGGCAGCAGUGGGGAAUAUUGGACAAUGGGCGCAAGCCUGAUCCAGCCAUGCCGCGUGUGUGAAGAAGGCCUUCGGGUUGUAAAGCACUUUCAGUAGGGAGGAAGGGUGUUGUGUUAAUAGCGCAGCAUUUUGACGUUACCUACAGAAGAAGCACCGGCUAACUCUGUGCCAGCAGCCGCCGUAAUAC